UUAAGUUAGCCUCGCGAUUUCUUUCCAAAUUUCUCUUUCUACCUACCUCCGUCGUUAGAGAGAGAGAGAGAGAGAGAGAGAGAGAGAGAGAGAGAGAGGUGUGUGUGGUGGUUUUGCUGAAGAUGAUGCGAUUAUGUGAGGAUGAUGAUUCUCUCACUGCGCGGUCUCUAAUUCGCUUGGUGCAGGUCGGGAACCGCUGCUGCUACGGUUUUCGCCCGUAAUGGAGGAGCGGUCGCCGGCGGCGAAUUGGAUCCCGCCUUGCAUCAACUGAAUCGGAGGCCGCGGUGAAACUUUGCGUGGUUUUCCGGCUGCUCUCACUCAGAUCUCGUAUGAGUUUCUACGACAAGUAAUAGUGUUGCUGGUUUCACUCGAAGUUCAUCAUUUGGUCAUUGGGUUCUUGAUUUCGGUGCCUCUAAUCAUAUUUCUGGACCGAAAUUCGGGGAGGACAAUUGGCGGUGGAUUUGACUCCAAUGGCCUUUACCUGCUCUCCAACUCCUCUUAUGCUCAUUAGAUUCUCCACUCACUAUUCACGCUCAGCUGGCUCAUCCUAGUCUUACAAAGCUCCAGAAGAUGGUGUCACAUCUGUCCAAGUUGUCUUCUUUGCAGUGGGAAUCAUGUCAAUUGAUAGAGUCAAUCGUCGUGCCUCCUCUCCUUUUAGUUUGGUUUAUUUUGUGUUUGGUGACCCAGUUGUAUUGAAUCAACUCGGGGGUAUAGAAAUUUUGUUACCUUUAUUGACGAUUAUUCUCGGGACACCUGGUUAUUUUUACUGAAAAAUUGCUCUGAGUUGUUCUCUAUAUUUCAGAAGUUUUAUCAGAAAAUUCUUACUCAAUUUGGUAUUUCUAUUCGCACUUUUUGUAGUGAUAAUGCUCGUGAGUAUCUGUCUCAAACCCCAACAAAAUGAGGUUGCUGAAAAAAAAACCGUCAUCUUAUUGAAAUAGCUAGGACACUCUUACUUCAUGGGAAUAUUCAUACCAGUUUUUGGGGCGAUGCUGUUCUCACCGCAUGCUAUCUCAUUAAUCGCAUACCCUCAUCUCUCCUUGAUAACCAGGUGUGCUGAUGUGGCUUCUCUUUCUCCCUUUUGCUUUCCUCAAGGGGGGUGUUUGGUAUGAUGGAAAAAAAUAUUUUGCCAGGAAAGUGGGGUGGG